rnacentral:rRNA from 1 species
CAGCCUGAUCUAGCCAUGCCGCGUGUGUGAUGAAGGUCUUAGGAUCGUAAAGCACUUUCGCCAGGGAUGAUAAUGACAGUACCUGGUAAAGAAACCCCGGCUAACUCCGUGCCAGCAGCCGCGGUAAUACGGAGGGGGUUAGCGUUGUUCGGAAUUACUGGGCGUAAAGCGCGCGUAGGCGGAUUGGAAAGUUGGGGGUGAAAUCCCGGGGCUCAACCCCGGAACUGCCUCCAAAACUAUCAGUCUAGAGUUCGAGAGAGGUGAGUGGAAUUCCAAGUGUAGAGGUGAAAUUCGUAGAUAUUUGGAGGAACACCAGUGGCGAAGGCGGCUCACUGGCUCGAUACUGACGCUGAGGUGCGAAAGUGUGGGGAGCAAACAGGAUUAGAUACCCUGGUAGUCCACACCGUAAACGAUGAAUGCCAGUCGUCGGGCAGUAUACUGUUCGGUGACACACCUAACGGAUUAAGCAUUCCGCCUGGGGAGUACGGUCGCAAGAUUAAAACUCA